rnacentral:rRNA from 1 species
GUGAGGAAUUUUCCGCAAUGGGCGAAAGCCUGACGGAGCAAUGCCGCGUGAAGGAUGAAGGCCUAUGGGUUGUAAACUUCUUUUCUCAGAAAAGAAUUAUGACGGUAUCUGAGGAAUAAGCAUCGGCUAACUCUGUGCCAGCAGCCGCGGUAAGACAGAGGAUGCAAGCGUUAUCCGGAAUGAUUGGGCGUAAAGCGUCUGUAGGUUGUUUAAAAAGUAUUCUGUCAAAGAUUAGGGCUUAACCCUAGAUAGGCAGAAUAAACUUUUAAGCUAGAGUUUGGUAGAGGCAGAGGGAAUUCCCGGUGGAGCGGUGAAAUGCGUAGAUAUCGAGAGGAACACCAAAGGCGAAGGCACUCUGCUGGGCCAAUACUAACACUGAGAGACGAAAGCGAGGGGAGCAAAUGGGAUUAGAAACCCUAGUAGUCC